GUUUUAAUAAUUUAAUUAAAAUAUUAAUUUUGUAAAUUAAAAAUGAACCUUUCUUAAAACA
rnacentral:tRNA from 1 species